GAUCAAAUCUCAGGGAAGAGUUCCCAGUCCUCUGAAUUCUGCUUUAAACCUUGGCGUUCAAGGCAGAGAUCGCCAGGCAAGCAUCAGGCCAGACACUGGGAGUUUAUCCUGAGAGCCUGGCCUCACGCUGACAGGGGUCAGAUCCCAUGGAGAAAAGGGAUCCAUGUGCAUCAGGAGGUGUAUAUUCCAAGGUCAUGCACACAUUCUGCCCUUUCUACAAACAAGUAGGCCAGGCUUAAAGGAACAAGGUAAAGUGACCACAGUCCCAACACUGGUGUGGGGAUGAACUUCAGGUAAGAGUCCAAGUUGGCUGGCUCAUGCUGCAUCCCUGUGCCCUUAGAGGCCUGGAGUGUGUGGAUGAGGGUCAGAGGCUGGGGGGCAGAAAUCAAUGGGUUCACAUCCAACACACACUGGUUAUAUUACCUGAGGCCUUGCUUUGCUCCUCUGUAAGAUAGGAGCAGUAACAGCCCUAACCUCAGAGGACUGACAUGAGGGAUAAGCAGCUAAGGUGGGAAAAGUGCUAAGUAUCUAACUAAAGUUCAGUCCCUGGAAGAUGCGUCAGCACCACCGCCAUUGUAGUCACUACCAUUGUGAAAGGAGGACCUGGAGGAUGAGCUCCACCCAGUGUGCCUGAGGACUCUCUUUGUUCCCCACCCUACCUCCAUGCAGAAUGGGGGGUGGGCACAGGGGCAGUGCAUAGUCACAGAUCCAGUACAAACAUGAGAUCAGAGGGUGGUGGGAUUUAAACAUUCAGAAAUCAAGGUACAUCUGGGGGCCAGGGGAUGAGAACAAAGGUUUCUUCUCUCACAGCCAUUUUCAAGGGUAACUGAAGUGGGUGGGGAAACUUUGCUCUGGACAUUCACACCUUACAAAGCAAUGUGGGUGUAUCAAGCGCUCUGCUGGGACGUAACACUCCUCGAGAUGUGUUUGCAAACCCUAGUCCAGCUUUCACCUGUAUCUAGGUGAAGUCCUGUUUCCUCCCAUGACAAACCCAGGGGUGACAGGAUGCCCGCAGGCUCUUGCAGAUAUUUGGGGAUGGCCUUGAGUGAUUCUGAGAAUAGUCAUUCUCACAGGGUCUGACCCAGAGAUGGCCACUCUUUUGUUUUCAGUGUGUUCCUACAUCUAUGUAUUUUCACCACCCCAUGAAACCAAGCUGCCAGCCACCUCUGUGAUAGGACUGAUUUCAGUGAGGGUGAUGGAACAUGACCCUUGUGUAGCCAUAAAACUAAACAGUGAGAGACGAGAGGAGUCGGGCAAAUGCUUUGCAUGUGUACCCACUGCCAGUUGGGUAAGCAAACCAGACUAUCACACUUGAGCACAGGUGUGUGUUAGAGCUGUACAUAAGCAAGAGUGAAGGGACUCAAACGAACAUCUGCCCUCCCGAAUCCCAGUACUGUGAGUGGCAGCAGAGUGUUCUGUCACUGUGUCCAGACAUCACCAGCUCCAUUCAAGGUUGACACUCAGGUGCCAAUAGCUGCGCUAAGUGUCUAUUUGUAUCCUGCCAGUCGGUGAUAAUCUCCCUACCUCAGCUCCGUUGAUACUCUGGCCCAGCUAAGUCUAUGCUGUGGGGGAUACUGGAAAUAUUGUGAGGAGUUUCACAGCACCUCUCCUGCUGCAGAAGAGAACAGCGCUCAUAUCCCAGUGCCCCAGUUACACCAAUAAAAAAAGUGUUCACUGGAGGCAACAUCACCACCAGCUGGGAAACCACUGAGAAAAUGAACCCUCACAUAGCCCGGGGCUGUGUGUAUAAUUAUUAUCCACAGUACACAGUUGUCCCUUCUCUAACUAAGGUACAGGUAAAUUAAAUCCGGGUCCAAGGCGUCAUCUUGGAAGGGCUGGGCAGGGUCGAUCUCUUUUCACAGCCUACAAUCAUGUUGUGCUCCUUCCUGCCUUGCCAGAGGAUGCUCAGUGAGGAGAGCUCAGGGUAGACAGUUAAAUUGGUCUCACCGUACAAGGUUGAGGAUCCAAGUUCUAGCCCCCAGAACACAAAUAAAGAGCUGGGCAUGGUGGCAAGGGCUUAUAAUCCCAGAGUUUAGUAGACAUAGAGAGGUGGGGUCCCUAAGUCUCACUGGCCAUCCAGCCUAGCAGCACUGGCAGGGUCCAGGCCAGUGAGAAACCUGCCUCAAAAAAUGAGGUGAAUGGCUCCUGAGGAAUGAUAUCAUCUAAGGUUAACCUCUGGCUUCCACACAUAUGUACAAACAUACACAUGCACACACCACACACACACACACACACACACACACACACACACACACACACACACACAGCCCACAGGAAGAUAGACCCUCACCAGAAGCAAUCCCUGACAACGACAAUGCCCUCAUGAGUCACACAACCAUCUUUCCCUGCAGGUCCCACCCCCAUUUUACAAAUGAGCACACUGAGACCUGGACUGCUAGGAGAAGAUCACCCCAAGUUACAGAGCAGGCAAACUACCAGAGGCUAGACUUGGAUCCACAUCUUGUCAGGCUGCUCUCUGAGUCUAGUCAACACUGAUUAAAUGAUGGGAGGCAGGCAGGCGACUUAAUAAAAAAAUGCAAAUCCAGGAUGAUGGAUAUAUUUAGGAGGAUGAAUUAUUAUGUGGUGGUAUAAAAAUAGAUCAAAGGAGAGCACGUGGACUUGCCAGCCUGGCUGUGUGAGAGACAGGAGGUGCGGGAAGAGCACCAGCGACAUUUCAUUAACUUUGCUGGGAAAACAUGGGGAGGCUGCCACCUAAAAACACAACAUUCACGGUGCCCCUUAAAGGAACACUGCAUGCUGGCCUAUGAAGAAGAGGUGAACUCUCCAUGGGCAGCUAUAAUUCUCAGUAUGCACUUGUGGGUUCUAUGGCCUUCAUGCCAUUGAAAUGAUCUCUAGGGUCCUUUUUGUAGAUGGAUCUCACAGAGAUAAGUGGAUCAAUCUAUACUGGAGACCAGUCACGUAUGAUGCUGGCCAGUUAUUCUGUGCAUUUUUCAGAAAGAAGUCUGUGAUAGUUAAUCUUGGCUAUCAAUUUAACUAUAUCUGGAAUUAACUAAUCCCUCCCCAAGCAGCUGGGCAUACCUGUGAGGGAUUUUCUUGAUUGAUUUUUUUAAAGUGGAAAGACCCACACUACAUUGGGGCUCCGCCUUCUGGUGGCAGCCUACAUAAAAGGACAUGGAGGAAGGAAGCUUUGCUUUUUGCCUGCUUGCCCUCAGUCUCACUGGCGAGUUCAUCUACCUUGUUGCUGAAGCAUCCCUUUGCUGACAUUAGAAACUAUUUCUUCAGGAUCCCAAUGAAGACUGGAGACCAGCAGCUCUUUAGGAAUAUUCCAGGACUCCAGCACCAGACUGGGACUGAUGGGACAUCUAGUCAGCUGCAUUGAACAACUACCCAGUCAUUGCCUUUCCAUUGUGGGACAGUCAUUGCUGGACUACCUGGACCACAGCCUCUUAGCCUGUCUAAUAAAUCUCCUCUAAAUAUCUGUAUAUAGAGAUAUAAAUACCCAUUUGAUCAGCUCUCUUCCCUUCAAGAUCCCCCAACAAAUACAGGGACCCACGUUCAAAGAGGAGAAAUAAUGAACUCCUGGCUCAUCUGCUGUGGUGAUAAGCUUCGGGUGCACAAGACAGUCACAGUCCUCAAGGCUCAGUGUAACCAGGGAUUCUGCACAAACCAGCUGCUGAUGGUCACAUAUUCUCUGAUACUCCGAGAUGAACCUCAGGCCCUUGAAAACAAUAAAAGGCAACAACAGCAUUCUUUGUGUUUCUUGCCUAAGUGGACGAGGAGCUGCCAGCAAUUACGCUGGGGCCUUUGCCGCAAAGCCUGUUUGCUUCCAGAGCUACAGCUGCGCUCCAGAGAGAUCGUUAGUCGGUGCGCACAUGUUAUUGAGGGCAGUGGUGUCAUUGCCAGUUGAAGAUGCCCUCAGUCAAGUGUGAGAGCCGGAAAUGGAGGUCAAAAUAAUUAACCUCGUGUGAUUUUGGCAGAGCUCCUUGCAAAAUCACCGUGUGCGUCUCAUAUUUCAGCAAAAUAAUACAUCCAUUGGUUCACAAGUCUCUUUUCCUCCCUUCUUCCCUCACUCUACUGUCAGUCUUUCCCCCUUUCUCUCUCCCACGCCAUGUCUUUAGCUUGCUUUUCUUUUUCCCCUUCCCACCCUAAUAGCAGGUCGUCAUAACUCACUGCAGCCAUGGCUGGCUGUGGCUCAGUACCAUCUCCCAUCACUAUCACACCAACUCUCUGAAGAAAAGCAGAAUGCAUCCCUCUACAAAGGCUUCUUCUGACCCAGUUUCAGUGUAUCCACACUCAGCCGCACCACGCUCACUGUGGGAGUCACGGCCAAAGCAAUCCAUGGACUGCUCAAGGAAGACUUCCAUCUGGCAUGGGGAGGGGCCAGCCUGGGUUUGGAAACUGACUCUGGGUCAAAUGCUGUUUCUUAUUUGCUGUUGGAGAUGGGUCCCUGAAGGGAUCACAUACAGCAGAAAGCUAAGGGUAUUCGCCAACUUGUGAGGGACACGCUGCCUAACAUGCAAGGUUCCCCGUAAGAGUGUGGGGGUUACAAGCCUUAAUUUUGUUCCCUCAUCCAGCCAGCCAUCCUUUUCAUUCAAUAUUAUGUACUGAUGGUUGACUGCAUGGCAUGGUGUUAUGCAUGCUUUGUAACUGGUGUGAGACAUUUUAUUAAUUAGGGAUGUCAUUAUAGCCAUA